UAUAAGGUGGUGUAUGGCGCACAUAAGUUUUUGAUUCUUAAAGAUAAAGUUUAAUCCUUUACCCUAUAA
rnacentral:tRNA from 1 species